AACCCUGAGAUCAAGAUUCACACGCUACACCGACUGAAACACCCAGGCGCCUCUGUCUGCGUUUUUUAUAAGUGUAUCCCUUCUUGCUGGCCCACAGACACACCGUCUCCAAAGGGACGGUAAGUGGUGUUCAUGAUGAUGAGUCCCGAGAUACGAUGAAAUGCUGAAUUGUCAGAGAUCAGAGUACAGUCUUAAAUUUUGAAAAUUACGAAACUGAUUGAUGAAAAUCUACAUCUGUAACUCUUCAUCGACCCCAAAGGUAAAAAUGCUCCAACAACACAAACGUUGCGCAUGCUGGUCAUUCCUAUUCCCGGCAUGGGGCUUGAACUCACAACCCUGCAAUCAAAUGUCACGCGUUCCACCAACGGAGGUGUCCCGGGAGCUCCCUCUUAUCUGCUGGAUUGACUGCGACCAGAUUCAUGAGUCGCCAAAU